rnacentral:rRNA from 1 species
GAGUUUGAUCCUGGCUCAGGACGAACGCUGGCGGCGCGCCUAACACAUGCAAGUCGAACGGAGCUCAUAUUUCAGAAGUUUUCGGAUGGACGAGAGAUAAGCUUAGUGGCGGACGGGUGAGUAACACGUGAGCAACCUGCCUUUCAGAGGGGGAUAACAGUUGGAAACGACUGCUAAUACCGCAUAACGCUGCGAUGGGGCAUCCCGAUGCAGCCAAAGGAGCAAUCCGCUGAAAGAUGGGCUCGCGGCCGAUUAGCUAGUUGGUGGGGCAACGGCCCACCAAGGCGACGAUCGGUAGCCGGACUGAGAGGUUGAUCGGCCACAUUGGGACUGAGACACGGCCCAGACUCCUACGGGAGGCAGCAGCGGGGGAUAUUGCACAAUGGAGGAAACUCUGAUGCAGCGACGCCGCGUGAGGGAAGACGGUCUUCGGAUUGUAGACCUCUGUCUUUGGGGAAGAAAAUGACGGUACCCAAAGAGGAAGCUCCGGCUAACUACGUGCCAGCAGCCGCGGUAAUAC